CGUGGUUUGUAAAGCCAAAAAACGCCAUUUUGAGGGUUGGUUUGUGGACCCAAUACCCCGCCAAAUUUGAGGACCAUAUUUGGUUGUUUCCAACCAACGACAUCGCGUCAUUGCUAUCACGUGACGCCCGCACUCCUGCACGCCGUGGACGCAGACGAUAUACAUUUCGGAAACUUUUGACAUUUCGUGGUUAUUUUUGGUCCUCAAAGACAGUUUUUGUCGGGUUGAAAUCUGCUGUUUACAACGGUUUUUCGCGAGCUUAUCCCGUGACACGUUUCGUUUUUCUCGUGGCCGUCUUGUGGCUGAAAUGGCAUCUCGCCUCCUGGAAAUCGUAGAUCGAAUUGGAUAAGUAAACUGUUCAGGAAUUAACACACAGAAUAACCAUUGCAAUGAAACAAUCAAGUUUAUUGGUGAUGCCCAUUGUUGCCUGAAAGCACAGUUGCAGAGGAAGCUUUGCUUAGAGGAAGGUGGUUCCCAGCCUGGAGAGCAACAAAGCCAAGAAGGGAUCACUCAACUGAAAAAAACAGUAUUUCCAGAUGAGUACCUGACUGACAAUUUACAAUAAAUACCAAAUUUGGCCCACCUGAUAUUUCAUACAGUGAUUCAUAAUCAAACUGGGAUUGGACAAGGCCCUUUUUGUGCUUCCAUAGUUAAAAAUUUCCCAGAUGUGCUGAUCAGUGGAAGCCUAGGGUCUCCUCGUCAAAAUAUCAGGAUGAGUUGACAUAGGUUUACAUUGACAGAGAUUUUUGAGUGUCCUCAAUCUUGGGGCGACACAAUGAAGUAUUAGGUGCCUUGCUCAAGGACAACGAGAUGAGGUGGCACAGAUUAUGUGAGAGUUGAACCCACAAUAUCCUUGUCAUUGUGAUCAUAAACAACCAGAAACUCUGGUAUGUGGACUGGAGGGAUGACUGCUUCUUAAUUUUGUCUUAAUUCACAGAGUUCGUUAUGUGUCCUUUGAAACAUAAAACUUGGCCUUGGACCUCAAUCUUGAAAUUCUUUACUUCAAAGCUGUUGGUGUUAAAUGACUCUUCUGAUUUUAUAAAGCUUAAUCUUUGGCAGAAGAACUUGAUGUGGAAAGCCAAUGUUUCAUCUCCAAUGUUUUCGGGCCUCAAAAUUCAGGAUUUUGCCUCCAAAGCAUUUCUUGAAAAAAGUGCUGUGGAGGUAGAGGCCUCUCAACAGCAAUUUGUCCCUUGCCCAAGACAAAUUUGCCUCAGCUUAUUUUAGGCAUAGCAACCCUGCCAGAGUGAUUGCGGAGCUCCUGGCAAUGCACACCUGGAUCCGGAGCCUAAAGCCGAGGACACACUACCAACUAUUGCUCACCAAGAUCAAAAACAGAUGUAGGGUCACCUGGCAAGUCACUCUUGCUGGCCUCAACAACUGUGCGUUCACACCAAUGUCAGGCCCAGACAAUUUUAGCUACCUGUACCUGUCUGUGACGUCACUGGAGGGAAACAUUUUGAUCACCUGAUGCACAGCUUACUUAUGAGACCCCUGCUGUCAUUGCUCCUGAUUAAUCAGGUAUAUACCUGUAGUUUUAUAGGCCCAUGGACAUUCUCAAAACAGCCAACCAUCUUCAAAGUACGGGUUUACAUGUCAAAAACAUAUAAUCGGAACUCCACCUUUAAAUGUAGACUCAAAUAGCUAAAAGAGCUAGUGCCUAGUAACAUGAAUUCAUUUUUUCUUGGUGUAAAGGGCUUGAAAGAGUUAAAAACAAAACCUCUUGUUUACAUUUUCCUUGCUCGAAACAGUUGGUGAACCGUUCACAAACGACAAUUCUACCUGAAGUAGCCCCCCUGUGGUGGCAAUCUUGGCGAAAAUAUAGAACUCCCCACCAACUCACCAAGACUGGGUGAGAGUAUCUAAUUUCACUGGCCAAGUGAAUUGCUGGACCGUUCACAUAUGACAAGACAUCUGCAGUCAAUUAAAUUAAUCACCAUUGGCCAAUUUUUCUUGGUAGUGUGUCCUCGGCUUAAGAACUGGGGCUGUAUAAUUAGAAUAAGGCAGCCAGGCCCAUAACUUUGGGGUUACCAUUUGCCGCGAGUGCCGUGGAGAAUUUACCAUUCAGAAUCAAAAGUUGAGUGAGAACCAUUAUAUUUUUCAGCCCCUCCACCUGAUGACCCACAUUAACAGGGAAGGAGAUGAAGGCAUUCAGAUUUGGUAUGGCAUCGUCAUUCUACUGACAAGCCAUGGCCCGUUAACAAAAUUUACCAAGGACCACAGUUCUUUGCUGCGACAUUGGCUGGGUUUUGCUGACCACAAUACCAUUUGAACUGGAAAUGUUGUCGCGAGAAGAAUCCGUCUUGGGAUACAAGCCUAAUAGCAAGAUCAGAGGGCAUGGUUCCCACGAAGGCUGUCCAAGGGAGAUUCAGCAACCUACUUGAUCAGCAUGGUUUCAAGAUCAUUGGGCUUGGGUGUCACGGGGGCCUGGAGAAACCAUAGUGCAUGGAUGCUCGGAGACACUUGUCACCCCUGGUAUGCCUGCUGUGAACAAGAGCUGGGGCUGAACCAAGCUAAGAUUAUUGACAAUCCCUAUCAUGUUGCCAACGUCACCAAUGGCAGGACUGAAGAUGGAUCCAUUGGAAACUAAAGGCUUUUCCUCAGCCAACACCUCAUGAACUGGACUGGAAAAUAGCACAGGUGAUCAAGACUGAUACCGCACAAUCGUCCUCCUGGUUAACAAGCCAAGACCAAUCCAGAUGGGGAGGGUUGGCCCUCCAACACCACUACCAAUGCUCUCAGCUGGGAUCAGUGGACUGCAGCAAUAUCUUACUGAAGACAAAGAUGAGGAAUCUACAAUGUUGAUGCAAGAUUGCCCUGUGAUGUCCAGGCGUCUUUGACUACAAAGCUUUGGUUCACCAGUAGGUCUUCUGAUGGUAAAGUUUGGACACAACAUCCUGAGCAUGAAGAAUAUUCUGAAAGACAGCACAAACAAUAUUUGGACAUUCAAUUUUUCAGCUGAGAAGGACCUUUUUUCAAGUUAGGACUAAAGCCCCUGGGCCUGCUUUAGGCCUAUAACUGUAGUUUGUGCUCUGUAGUAUGUGAUUUGAAAAGAUUGGAGUAAGGAUUGUACAAUGGAACAAGUGUCAUUUUGUUUGCCACAGUAACUUAAGGCAGUGUUAGUGACCCAUUUGUUUUCAGUUUACAAAGCCAUCAUGAUCAACUGCAUUGAUCCCUCAAAAGAUUGUUGGAGUGACUCCAUUAAAUGUAACAAAAAUAUCCAACACCUGGUACUCUAGUUACUGUAGGUUAGCUACUGAAGUGACCUUUUUGUUUUCACUUUUAAAAACCUAUGCGAUUUGCCGCACUGAAGGUCCCUCCUGAGAUUGUUGGACUGGGUCCAUUAAAUGUGACAAAAAUAUCCAACACCUAUUUACAAAUGAAGUGAGGGGGUCAGCCUUUUGGUGUAACUCCAUAUAACUGUCUGGUGAUUUCGCUCUGGGCUUGUGACAUUCUGAUCGGUCUGAAAUAAUCAUUGUCGCCCAUCCCUCAAUUUGAGGCCUGUGUCCCGAUGGUGGCGUUGAAUGGCAAAAUCAAAGGGGCAUGACGGCGGUUAUACCUAUUGCGAAUGGGCAGCAUCACAACCAGUUCUGAGAUCUGGGGGUGGUGUAGGAUAUCUGGUUACCACGCACACAUCUCUUGAAUCUGCGGUGGGUUGGUACCCCACGCUACGUAAGGGGAGGUUCUGGGUAAGACUUGGUCCACGUGAAUAGGUUGUACCUGAAAGAUGAGAAGUUGCGAAUGGACGCCUUAGAAUAUGUCCUUCGACCAGCUAGUGCUAACCCGGUCACUGUCUCCAGGUCACCACACCUUGGUCAAUGAGCGGGCGAAGAACCCAAUGGCUCCGUCAGGAGUACAUCGUCAACUUCAGCCCGUAGUCAAACCGGUCCAUGUACAAAUAUCUUGGCUGAGAGUGGGGGACGUACUUGCUUCUCAUCGGGGUAAUACAGUACCACUGUAUACAAUGACCCCAUUUUAGUUGGAUUUUACUGAGGAGUGGACGAUAAUGAGAAUUUCAGGCCAGUCCGAUUGUCACCAGUUCAGAGGGCGAUUACCUGAUAGUUAUGUGGCAUUCCGUCAAACGGUGAACUCUUUCACAUCCUUUGUAAAUUAGUGUUGCUUGUUACAUGUCACAUUCAAUGGCUCCUUUGAGGAUAGUUUCUGUGAUUCUACUUUACCAUGAGCAGGCCCAUUAAAACCUAAACUGUGUAGUUUGUGCUCUGUAGUAUGUGAUCUAAAAAGUUGUAAAUCUGGUUAUUGGAGUAAAGAUUGUAGAAUGGAAUAUCCGCGGGAUGCCCUAAUCUGAGAGCCAAGAGCCAAGACGCUGUUAAAGAGCCAAUUAAGUGCUGCCAGGAAAGCCCCGAGCCAAAGAAAAAGUUUAGGCUAAUGAAACUUUGGGAAUCCUAAGCCUACAGGUACCCUACUUGAUAAAAAAUUAAUUUAUUAUGUAAUCAUUUUUGACAUUGUAAGAAAUCACCACCUUGAUAGCUAUAUAGU